CCCAACUCUGGCUUCAGAAUCCUCCAUGGACAAAAUCACUGACCUGUUCUCUUAAUUGCUUUUAUUUUAUUGUCAUGUGCUAGUGUUAUAUGCUAGUUUUAUGAAGGCACCUAAUGGUGCAGUGGGGAAGUAACUUGCCUAGGAAGCAAGAGGUUGCUGGUUCGAAUCCUUGCUGGUAUGAAACACCUAUAUUGGGCAGCAAAGAUAUAGGAAAAUGCUGAAAGGCAUCAUCUGAAACUGCGCAGGAGCUGGCAAUGGUGAAGAAGCUGAACAGAAACUACAAUGUCAAAAUAAAGAAGUAACCAUCAGUCUUGAUGUGGCAGGGAGAUCUGAUCAAGAAGGGGUGACUGAACCACAAUUAGAGAACAAGAGUGGGAGAAAAAGCAUUCAUGUUGAAACUGGAGGCUUGAUUUUGCAGAGAGCAGCAUGUAGAAUAUAGGGACUGGCUCAGCAGUGCUAAAUGGACCUAGUGUGGAAACAGCCUGUAGCAGAGAGUGAAAAAAAUAACUCUGUGUGUCUUUUGCAGAAGCCCUGUUGUAUCUUAUUUACAGUACUAGUCUGUUUCUAACGUUGUUUACUUUUUGACUCCUGCAGUAUACUAAAUUUAUGUUUUCAGUUACUGAUUUUCCAUGAAUCUAAGAUAUGGUUGAGAUUUUGAUUUUCUACACAGCUUAUGCUAUGACAGUUAACUUUGGAUUUAAUUUGUCAUCCAAGCCUGCAACAUCUUUCUGCAAUCUUUUGGGCUUUCAAUAAGAAACUUUUUGAAAUUCUGCUAGUUUGGAUAGUGCUAACAUCAACACUUAUUUAGCUGUAAGAAUAUUACAUCAUGGCCAGCAUCAGCAUCCUAUAUAGAGGAAAAACAUCUGAAUCUUUGCUUUAUACUCAGCCCAUUAUUGUCUUAUUCAGCGUAAACUUUCAGUUUCAUGAAAGGAAGGAACAGAUUAAAUACAGACAAGCACAGGGAUAAUGAAUAUCUAAGAAAAUGUUGUUGACAAAAGGAAGUGCUCAAAACAGAGCUGGGAAGAGCAGGGGGGAAUAAUAAAGAGAAACAUCUGUACCACAUUACAGUCCUGUAGGGAUGGAGAAAGCAAAAGAAGAGCUAUUACUCUAAAGCAGGGAUUCUCAGCGUUGAAGUCCAAUAACAUCUGGGGACCCAACAUUUAGAAUCCUUGCUAUAAAGCAUAAUGCACUACCUCCUGCAUGUGAUGCUAGCCUUUCUGGCUCCUGGAACAAUUAAAUGUGUCAA